rnacentral:sRNA from 1 species
CCCCGACCUCCACCCUUUGUGAACCAAACUUGUUGCUUCGGGGGCGACCCUGCCGACGAACUCGUCGCCGGGCGCCCCCGGAGGUCUUCUAAACACUGCAUCUUUGCGUCGGAGUUUAAAACAAAUUAAACAAAACUUUCAACAACGGAUCUCUUGGUUCUGGCAUCGAUGAAGAACGCAGCGAAAUGCGAUAAGUAAUGUGAAUUGCAGAAUUCAGUGAAUCAUCGAAUCUUUGAACGCACAUUGCGCCCUUUGGUAUUCCGAAGGGCAUGCCUGUUCGAGCGUCAUUUCACCACUCAAGCCUGGCUUGGUAUUGGGCGUCGCGGUUUUCCGCGCGCCUUAAAGUCUUCCGGCUGAGCUGUCCGUCUCUAAGCGUUGUGGAUUUUUCAAUUCGCUUCGGAGUGCGGGCGGCCGCGGCCGUUAAAUCUUUAUUCAAAGG